GUAAUCACGAGAUCACUUACGGUAAAUUAUAUUUCCAGAAUACAUGAACGCGGUGCGUUAUUAACAUCCAACAGACUGGUAAUCUAUCAAUAAUUCUUUAAAUCAAGCCUAGAUGGCGCUAGAAUGCACAUAUUUGUAUUAAAUUCGAAGCACAGUUAUCGCUGCCUGUUGUUGGUAGGUACUAGUGAGGGUACAUAGCCUUAAAAGGAAUCGUGCGUGGCUGUGUGUGAUAGUGUGAAUUGGUGCAGCAGGUUUUGUUUUAUCUGUUAGAUUUAUUUGUUUACGUCCAUGAGACGAUGUGCCGUCGGAACUCGGAACUCACACUAUUCAUGGAACUCAGGUGAUUCAAUUCGCGCAGUUGUGAAUGACUUAUCGCCGUCGCCGAAACAUACUGAGUCGAGUAGAAAUUACGAGUAUGUGCUCUAGUAGUUAUUCUGUGUAUUUCUUUCGCGAGUUGCCAUGUUCCGAUAGCGAUUGAUUCGGUAAAUUGAGUUAUACAUUCUAUCACGUAUCAACGCAAUGUAAUAAUAACAAGUGUGCCGUGCUACUGAUGAUUUAUAGUGUGUGCAAUGUUAGAAAACGUGAUAUUUUUCUCUGUCGGAUGUUGGAUGUCAUGGAUUACAAUGACUAAGUCGCGAGAACAUGUUACCUUUAGGUACUUGCCGUACAUGUAUGGAAGAUGACUGUACUUUCUUUGAUUACCCGAUACAUAAUACUUUCUUUGAUUAUCCGACACAUUGGUAAGUUUAUAAACUUUAUUAAAUCACAAUUAUGUAAUUACAUUUUUGUCUUAAAUCACACGUAACAAGUACCGUAAUAACUCAAAAUUGACGCGUGCCGUCAGAUGCGUUUUCGGUUUCGCUGCAGACUUUGCUUUUUCCAUGUCAAUCAUCGAUUUAAUAGCUUGAAUUUUUCUUCGCUUGCAUUUUCUUUUAAUGUCAUAAUGCUCCAAUCGCGGAGACAUGUUUUAAUAGACAAUUUAAAUUACUUCCCGCGUGUGUACAGACUUGCCGUCAGCCGACACAUUUUGCCUUGCUUGUGGCGUAUCUGGAGAACCAAUCGCAAAGUAAAUUUUAGGAUCUCAAUAAAAUCAUAUUGAUGUUUUAUUUAUCCAUCACUUUCCUACCUUUUCUUUUUUUAAUUUUACAUUUUAUAAAUUUUAAUUUUCUUUGAUUUUUCUUCUAGCUCUCUAUUCUUAAUUAAAAAUGCAGUUGUAGUUUUGUUAUGUCACCCUCUCGUGAAUCUAAUUCUCUGCAUCGAAAAUUUUUAUUAUCUUAUUAAAUGUAGCUAUUUUCUUCUUAUAUCGCCCUAUGCAUUACUUUUCCUUGUCCUCUCAUGUAAAACUGACUAAAUUUAUCGUUUCCUGGUCGUUUUCUACUUAAAAUUUGUAUUUUGUUUUUAAAUUAAGGAGUUUCCUAUUUGUAAUACCCUGUAUGUUUUUUUAAAAUUUCCCAUCAUAAGUUUUCUAAAUUUAUUAUUCCCGAAUGUUUUAUUUCUUGAACACUUGAUUUUCUUUUUGUAGCACCCUGUAUAUUCAUUUUCCAUGUUGUUUGUGAAAAUUUAGCUUUAUCUGUUGUUUUUAGGUUUUUCUUUUCACUUCGAAUUUUCUAUUUGUAACACCUGUAUGUUUGUUUUUCUUGAUGUCACAUUGUAAGUUUUCUAAAUUUGUCAUUCCCUAGUGUUUUCUUUUUUGAACUUUUGAUUUUCUUUUUGUAGCACCCUGUAUAUUCGCUUUUCUUGUUGUCCGUCAAACUUUAGCUUUAACUGUUGUUUUUAGGUUUUUCUUCCUUGCACUUCGAAUUUUCUAUUUGUAACACCCUGUAUAUUAGUUUUCUUGCUUGUCGAUGAAAACUUUUUGUUUGCACUUUAAAUUUUCUUUUUGUAACUCCCUGUAUAUUUGUUUCCAUUUUUAAUCACGCAAUUAGGUAUUUAAUUAAUUUCUUUAUCCCGGCUGUACUUUGCGAUGUGCUACUUGCUUGCAUGUUCGCGGCUAUGCAGGUCGUAAAUCCUGUUUCAAUAUGGCGGCAUGUAUUUUGUUGACUUGUAAAAUCUAAACUUGUAUUCUAUUGUUAAUAAAGAAAUAGUAAGAUA